rnacentral:rRNA from 1 species
CCUACGGGAGACAGCAGUGAGGAAUAUUGGUCAAUGGACGAGAGUCUGAACCAGCCAAGUAGCGUGAAGGAUGACUGCCCUAUGGGUUGUAAACUUCUUUUAUAUGGGAAUAAAAUGUUCCACGUGUGGGAUUUUGUAUGUACCAUAUGAAUAAGGAUCGGCUAACUCCGUGCCAGCAGCCGCGGUAAUACGGAGGAUCCGAGCGUUAUCCGGAUUGAUUGGGUUUAAAGGGAGCGUAGGUGGAUUGUUAAGUCAGUUGUGAAAGUUUGCGGCUCAACCGUAAAAUUGCAGUUGAAACUGGCAGUCUUGAGUACAGUAGAGGUGGGGGGAAUUCGUGGUGUAGCGGUGAAAUGCUUAGAUAUCACGAAGAACUCCGAUUGCGAAGGCAGCUCACUGGACUGCAACUGACACUGAGGCUCGAAAGUGUGGGUAUCAAACAGGAUUAGAUACCCCUGUAGUC